rnacentral:misc_RNA from 1 species
AAACGAUUUCGCGGUUUUCGCCGAGACGUGCUUUCAGAAGUUCGGCGAUCGAGUGAAGCAUUGGAUUACCUUCAACGAACCGCACACCUUCGCUACACAGGGCUACGAUGUCGGUCUCCAGGCGCCGGGGCGCUGCUCCAUUCUCCACCAUCUUACUUGUCGGAAUGGCAACUCUGCAACCGAGCCUUACAUUGUUGGCCACAAUAUUCUCCUCUCUCAUGCCACCGUCUCCGAUAUUUACAGAAGAAAGUACAAGAGGACACAGAAGGGAGUGAUUGGAAUCUCGCUAGAUGUUAUCUGGUUUGAACCAGGUUCGAAUUCCACUGAAGACAUUGCAGCUUCCCAAAGAGCUCAAGAUUUUCAGCUUGGAUGGUUUCUCAACCCGUUGAUCUUUGGAGAUUAUCCAACCUCCAUGAAAAGCAGAGUUGGAGGGCGACUACCGACGUUUUCACAGCAGCAGGCGGCAUUG